UGUAAUUCAAGUGGAGAAUCCCUUCUAAACUAGUGAGGGAUGAUGGAAACUAAACCCAACUUCAAAAAUCCAGCUCUCAAGGCAUUCGGAUCCAUAAACACCAAGAAAACUUCAAUUUCAGCUCAAAAACACUAAAAUCUCAGGACAAAUAGUGAUUCGAGCCUACAUACCUAAUCAAACUGUUGUUGGAAUGGUUCAACACACUCUUCUAUAAGUCCACAAUCCACAAAACCAAUUUUCACAGUAUUUGGGUGCUCCUACGGUGCACACGAGCAGAAACUCCCAAGGUCGCUACUGGAUUUCUGCUGAAAUCUAAGCCUUCAAUGCCACAGAAUAGAAAUUUGAAGGAGUGGAGGGGAUUUGGUGCAAAAAUACAAGCUCCCUAUGAAGAAGAGGUGAAAAGAGCUCUUAGAAGAUGUUCUCCCAUUUUUAUAGAGGUAUAGGUUGGGUACAAUAAGCCUCAGGAAUAAACAUUGCUAACCUAUUACUCUGCUGGCAACUCCAGAUUCGGGCACCUAGAACCCAUAACUGGGUGCCUAAAAUUUUCAGCCUGCACAAACAGCACUUUGGUUUCUCCAUUCGACGGUCCGCUACUCCGCCAUCCGGUGCCGGCGAAUCUCACCUACCACUACACACGUGUCAACACGAUCGAUAUUCACGAAGUGAACUUUCGAGCUCAACUUUCGGGCACCCUAAACAAGGUUCGAAAUGACUUCAGCAUUCAAUACCAAACAACACUCAGGAUCUGGGCGCUCUAAAUCACUUCUGGGCGGCUUAAACUGCCAAAACUUUAGUUUUGGCUUAUUUGAGUGCCCGAGUCUGUUUUUGCAUCCAUUUCGUGCUAAAACGACUUCGACUCGUCCCGACACUCUACAGAUGUGUCGAUCAGUCGCUGAUACUGUAGUCAUUUAGAUAGCUAAACCCCAGGGACACUACAAUCCUAAC
rnacentral:lncRNA from 1 species